rnacentral:rRNA from 1 species
AUUGAACGCUGGCGGCAGGCCUAACACAUGCAAGUCGAGCGGCAGCGGAAGGAAGCUUGCUUUCUUGCCGGCGAGCGGCGGACGGGUGAGUAAGGUAUGGGGAUCUGGCCGAAGGCGGGGGAUAACCACUGGAAACGGUGGCUAAUACCGCAUAAUCUCUAAGGAGCAAAGUGGGGGACCGUUCAGGCCUCACACCUUCGGAUGAACCCAUAUGAGAUUAGCUAGUAGGUGGGGUAAUGGCUCACCUAGGCGACGAUCUCUAGCUGGUCUGAGAGGAUGAUCAGCCACACUGGGACUGAGACACGGACCAGACUCCUACGGGAGGCAGCAGUGGGGAAUAGUGCACAAUGGGCGCAAGCCUGAUGCAGCCAUGCCGCGUGUAUGAAGAAGGCCUUCGGGUUGUAAAGUACUUUCAGUCGUGAGGAAGGUGUUAAGGCUAAUAACCUUAGCAAUUGACGUUAGCGACAGAAGAAGCACCGGCUAACUCCGUGCCAGCCGCCGCAGUAA